rnacentral:rRNA from 1 species
UACGUAGGGCGCAAGCGUUGUCCGGAAUUAUUGGGCGUAAAGAGCUCGUAGGCGGUUUGUCGUGUCUGCUGUGAAAACCUAAGGCUCAACCUUGGGCUUGCAGUGGGUACGGGCAGACUAGAGUGCGGUAGGGGUGACUGGAAUUCCUGGUGUAGCGGUGGAAUGCGCAGAUAUCAGGAGGAACACCAACGGCGAAGGCAGCUCGCUGGGACGGUACUGACGCUGAGGCGCGAAAGCGUGGGGAGCGAACAGG